ensembl:lncRNA
CCGGGGAGGUUAGCGAUAUAAUCAUUUAUUAUAUUUUACAUCAUAAAUAUGUCAUGUUUCAAUACUCUUUAAAUAACCAAAAACGAAUAAAUUAAAAUCAGUUCACAUGUCUCUUUGGGUUACUUCUGAUUGCGUGUAUAUAUGUGUGUAUAAUGUGUGUGUAUAUAUAUAUAUAUUUGUGCAAGUAUUUAUGCGUGUGUGUGUGUUUGUAUAUUUGUGUGAAUAUAUACGUGCGUGUACGUGUGCGUGUACGUGUACGUGUACGUGUACGUGUCUAGUGCAGCAGCAGUGCCGGGUGCAGGCCGCCGCUCUUGCCCUCUCCGCCGUCCAGACUCCCUCCGAGCGCCGUGCCCAGCGUGGGAGUGGGUUUGAUGGGGAGCGGCAUGGCGGGACCGGCCUGGGGCCCCGCGCAGUGGUACAGGCUCUUGACGGGCACGUUGAAGGGCGGGUACUCGGCCUCGCCCAGCAGCCCCACGCCGGGCCACGCCGGCCCUCCCACGGGGUGCACCGGCACCGGCACCGGCACCGGGUAGCCCAGCUGGCUCAUGACGGAGGCGAUGGGCACCUUGUACUCGCGGCCGAUGAUGUUCUCGAUGGUGAACGGGUGUCCUCCGUGGAGCCCGUAGGCGUGGUAGUGGGCGGCGGGGGUCAGGGCCAGCUUGGGCUCGGCGCGCUGCAGCUUGAAGCGCUUCCUCCUGCGCAGGAAGCUGCCGUUCUCGAACAUGUCCCCGCAGUCGGGGUGCAGCGCCCAGAAGCUGCCCUUGCCCGGCUGGUCGGGCCGCCGCGGGAUCUUGAUGAAGCAGUCGUUGAAGGACAGGUUGUGUCGCAGCGAGUUCUGCCAGCGCUGCGUGUUGUCGCGGUAGUAGGGGAAGCGCUCCAUGAUGAACUUGUAGAUGUCGCUGAGCGGCAGCAUCUUCUCGUCGGAGCUCUGGAUGGCCAUGGCGGUGAGGGAGAUGUACGAGUAGGGGGGCUUCUGGUCGCUGUAGGAGCUCUUCCCGGGCCGGGGCAUCUUCCCCCGCUUCACAGCCGCCCAGGAGCGCCGGGGCGCGUCAUGGCAGAAGGUGUCUCCAAGAAGGGCGAGAACUUUCCUGGAGACGCGUCCAGAGGAGCUGCCCGGGAGAACUUUCCAGGAGAAAUCAAUCCGGAGCCCGGAGACGUGUGUGUGCGCGGCGGCAGCGCGGGUGCGCGGCUUUUGUACGAAGCGGCGACGGUUCGAACCCCCGCCGGGGCGCGCGCUCUUCUGCCAGAGUGUGUGUGUGUGUGUGUGGGAGAGGGAUAGCAACCUGUCAUCUAAUCUCGUUAAUAUUAAUAUUAUGGUUAC